CCGAGGGCUGCCCGGCAACCGGCGAGGAAACGGCUGGCGUCUGUGCAGCGGGCGCAGCGGGACCCUCGGAGCCUGCGGGCGCGAGAUCGAGCUAAGGCCGGCAACUCUUCUCCGCGAACCUCCGGCGCCAGGCGCAGGAGUCAGAGAUGGCGCUCCCCACGCUGCCCUCUUAUUGGUCCAACCGCAGACCCGCGAAUAUCCGCUACCGCCAGCAACAGCAGGAGGACGAGUUUCGCCAGCAGUGGGAGCAGAACAGUCGCUAUUUCAAGACGUGGGACCUCCACAACUCCAAACAGACCGAAUGGACCUCCAAGACCUCCUACCAGCGAAGGCAAGUGUCUGCGUGUCGGGUGGAGGCAAGGGUCUGAGUGCUCCGCCCCCACCACCACCCUCCCCCGCGCUAGUCAGGGGAUUGUUGCGGGAGCGAAGACUCCGGGAGCAGCACAGGGAUCUGAAGUCAGCCCGAGAAGAACAAAGGAAACUGAUGGCUGAACAACUUCUGUAUGAACACUGGAGGAAGAACAACCCGAAACUUCGAGAGAUUGAGUUGGACCUUCACAAGAAGCAUGUGAUAAAUUCCUGGGCAACACAGAAAGAAGAAAAAAAACAGCAAGAAGCCACUGAGAAGCAGGAAAACAAGCAGUUUGAGAACGAGUAUGCGGCCG
rnacentral:lncRNA from 1 species